rnacentral:rRNA from 1 species
UACGUAGGGAGCAAGCGUUGUCCGGAAUCAUUGGGCGUAAAGCGCGCGUAGGCGGCCCGAUAAGUCCGCUGUGAAAGUCAACGGCUCAACUGUUGGAUGCCGGUGGAUACUGUCGGGCUAGAGUACGGAAGAGGCAAGUGGAAUUCCUGGUGUAGCGGUGGAAUGCGCAGAUAUCAGGAGGAACACCUAUAGCGAAGGCAGCUUGCUGGGACGCUACUGACGCUAAGGCGCGAAAGCGUGGGGAGCAAACAGG